rnacentral:rRNA from 1 species
GACGAACGCUGGCGGCGUGCUUAACACAUGCAAGUCGAACGGAAAGGCCCUGCUUGCAGGGUACUCGAGUGGCGAACGGGUGAGUAACACGUGGGUGAUCUGCCCUCUACUUUGGGAUAAGCUUGGGAGACUGGGUCUAAUACCGGAUAGGACCGCCCUCUUGUGUGUGUGGUGGAAAGAUUUUUCGGUGUAGGAUGAGCUCGCGGCCCAUCAGCUUGUUCGUAGGGUAAGGGCCUACCAAGGCGGCGAAGGGUAGCCGGCCAGAGAGGGUGUACGGCCACAUUGAGACUGAGAUACGGCGCAGACUCCGACAGGAGGGAGCAGUGGGGGAAAUUGCGCAAUAGGCGCAAGGCGGAGGCAGCGACGCCGCGUGGGGGGUAAAGGCCUUCUGUUUGUAAACACCUGUCGCUGGGGACGAAGCUUUGUUGUGACGGUACCUAGAAGAGAAGGACCGGGUAAAUACGUG